UACGAAGGGGACUAGCGUUGUUCGGAUUUACUGGGCGUAAAGCGCGCGUAGGCGGAUUACUAAGUCAGGGGUGAAAUGCCGAGGCUCAACCUCGGAACUGCCUUUGAUACUGGUAAUCUGGAGAUCGGGAGAGGUUGGUGGAAUUCCGAGUGUAGAGGUGAAAUUCGUAGAUAUUCGGAGGAACACCAGAAGCGAAGGCGGCCAACUGGCCCGAUACUGACGCUGAGGCGCGAAAGCGUGGGGAGCAAACAGG
rnacentral:rRNA from 1 species